rnacentral:rRNA from 1 species
UAAAGUUUGAUCAUGGCUCAGACUGAAGCGCUAGCGGCAGGCCUAACACAUGCAAGUCGAACGGUGACAGGAAGCAGCUUGCUGCUUCGCUGACGAGUGGCGGACGGGUGAGUAAUGUCUGGGAAACUGCCUGAUGGAGGGGGAUAACUACUGGAAACGGUAGCUAAUACCGCAUAACGUCGCAAGACCAAAGAGGGGGACCUUCGGGCCUCUUGCCAUCGGAUGUGCCCAGAUGGGAUUAGCUAGUAGGUGGGGUAACGGCUCACCUAGGCGACGAUCCCUAGCUGGUCUGAGAGGAUGACCAGCCACACUGGAACUGAGACACGGUCCAGACUCCUACGGGAGGCAGCAGUGGGGAAUAUUGCACAAUGGGCGCAAGCCUGAUGCAGCCAUGCCGCGUGUAUGAAGAAGGCCUUCGGGUUGUAAAGUACUUUCAGCGGGGAGGAAGGCGAUAAGGUUAAUAACCUUGUCGAUCGACGUUACCCGCAGAAGAAGCACCGGCUAACUCCGUGCCAGCAGCCGCGGUAAUACGGAGGGUGCAAGCGUUAAUCGGCAAUUACUGGGCGUAAAGCGCACGCAGGGCGGCUGUCAGUCGGAUGUGAAUCCCCCGGGGCUCAACUGGGGAACUGGUUCCAAAACUGGCAGGCUAANUCUUGUCAGGGGGGNGACAUUCCCCAGG